AGGUUAAAGGUACCCGUACCGCAAACCGACACAGGUGGGUGAGGAGAGUAUCCUAAGGCCAGCGAGAGAACUGUUGUUAAGGAACUCGGCAAAAUGCCCCCGUAACUUAGGGAUAAGGGGUGCCACCAUCAGGUGGCCGCAGAGAAUAGGCCCAAGCGACUGUUUACCAAAAACAUAGGUUUCUGCUAAGUCGCAAGACGAUG
rnacentral:rRNA from 1 species